rnacentral:rRNA from 1 species
UAGGGAAUCUUCGGCAAUGGACGAAAGUCUGACCGAGCAACGCCGCGUGAGUGAAGAAGGUUUUCGGAUCGUAAAACUCUGUUGGUAGAGAAGAACGUUGGUGAGAGUGGAAAGCUCAUCAAGUGACGGUAACUACCCAGAAAGGGACGGCUAACUACGUGCCAGCAGCCGCGGUAAUACGUAGGUCCCGAGCGUUGUCCGGAUUUAUUGGGCGUAAAGCGAGCGCAGGUGGUUUAUUAAGUCUGGUGUAAAAGGCAGUGGCUCAACCAUUGUAUGCAUUGGAAACUGGUAGACUUGAGUGCAGGAGAGGAGAGUGGAAUUCCAUGUGUAGCGGUGAAAUGCGUAGAUAUAUGGAGGAACACCGGUGGCGAAAAGCGGCUCUCUGGCCUGUAACUGACACUGAGGCUCGAAAGCGUGGGGAGCAAACAGGAUUAGAUACCCCCGUAGUCCCUGAGCGGGCUGGCAAGGCGCAU